GAUGAAGAACGCAGCGAAAUGCGAUAAGUAAUGUGAAUUGCAGAAUUCAGUGAAUCAUCGAAUCUUUGAACGCACAUUGCGCCCGCCAGUAUUCUGGCGGGCAUGCCUGUUCGAGCGUCAUUUCAACCCUCAAGACCCCUUCGGGGGACUUGGUGUUGGGGACCGGCACAGGGGCCUGCCUGCUUGUCUUGCAGCGCCCUCGCCGCCCCCGAAAUGAAUUGGCGGCCUCGUCGCGGCCUCCCCUGCGUAGUAGCACAACCUCGCAACGGGAACGUGACGGCGGCCACUGCCGUAAAACAACCCCAAUUUUAUUAGAGUUGACCUCGAAUCAGGUAGGAAUACCCGCUGAACUUAAGCAUAUCAUAAGCGGAGGA
rnacentral:misc_RNA from 1 species